GCAAGUCGAACGGCAGCAUGACUUAGCUUGCUAAGUUGAUGGCGAGUGGCGAACGGGUGAGUAACGCGUAGGAAUCUGCCCUUAAGUGGGGGACAACCCGAGGAAACUCGGGCUAAUACCGCAUAAUCUUUAAGAAGCAAAGCUGGGGACCUUCGGGCCUGGCGCUUGAGGAUGAGCCUGCGUCCGAUUAGCUAGUUGGUAAGGUAAAGGCUUACCAAGGCGACGAUCGGUAGCUGGUCUGAGAGGAUGAUC
rnacentral:rRNA from 1 species